rnacentral:tRNA from 1 species
GAGUUAAUAACUUAAUUGGUAAAGAACUUCCUUGUCAAGGAAGCUGAUGUCGGAUCGAAGCCGACUUAACUCGC